rnacentral:tRNA from 1 species
GAAAUUUUUAGGAAUAAUUAAAGCUGCUAACUUUAUGAUUGUGGUUCAAAUCCAUGUAAAUUUCA